rnacentral:lncRNA from 10 species
CUAGUUCCUUGUUAGUAAAGGUUUCUUCUUUGCUCUUCUGUGUGUUCCUCAACAUUGUCUUCACUUGUGUCAGAGAUAGCCUUCCCCACCAACUUUCCUUACAUUUAAGAUAUUUCUGACUAUCAUAUCGAUAGUGCAGAAGCGCCUGAAAUCAUUGACUUCCUCACUCCAUAAUGGCUUCCAACACACUUUGGCUGUCUUGAGCUGUAGGGCAUUUACAGCCUCCGCAAUAAACACAAUCGUUUCUGCAGUUGGGAAGCUCUUCCAUAAAUCCUGUAUGACAUGGUGAGGGUUAUUAUCAAGACAGCAUAAAUCCUUCCAAAAGUCCAGUGGGUGUAAGACACCUUGAGGCACUUGAUGAUGCUUUGAUCAAGUAGUUGUAGCAGUGAUGUAGUUUUAGGAGGCAGGAACAUCACUUCCCCAUUUUUAUCGGCAUAACAGAGAGAAGAGAGAUGCCAGGAGCGUUGUCAGUUAUGAGGAGGGCCUUGAGUGGCAGCCCCUUCUUUU